AUGCUGAACGGGGGGAGGGAGGGCCUGUUUCAGCUGGGACAGCAGCUCCAGCAGCAGGGGGAGUACCAGGCCGCCCUACACUGCUUCCUCAGCUCUCUGCUGGGGUUGAGGCAUGUGCAGAGCUUUACCUCACUGCCCAACUGCCUGCAUCAGAUUGCUGAGCUCUUCAUCUCCGAAAAUAAUUACGGCAAGGCCCUGCAGUUCAUUCAGGCUGAGAAGAUGUUCUAUGAGGUUGCUCUGAUCGAGCUCACUGCUGUUCAGGGGAGCACAGGCCCCCAGGAGGAGGCUUUGCUGGGCUCAGCAGGGACAGGAUGGGCGUCCUCAGAGGAGCUAUCGGAUCAGGCUUCCCAGGCACAGCACCUGGAGCAGCUAGCCCAGCUCUGCAUCGUGAGUAAAAGACCUCAUCUUGCUUUAGAGUACAGUGGGAAAGCCACUAAGAUCCAUCAGAGGGCCUUUGGCAACGACCACCCCAUCACAGACAGGAGUCUGGAGCUGCUGGCCACCGUCUACGCAGAGAUCGGCAAGACAGAAUACUCAGACUCCCUGGACCAGUGUGUGUCAGUGCUGUCCAAGAGGUUUGCUUCUGCCGAGUCCUUCAGAGACAAACUCAACAACGGUCUUCCCCAUUCCCACUCCCAUUCCCAUCGGGAGAAACACUCCGAUGUCUGGCACAGGAAAGACCCCAGUCCACAGGAUGACACACCAAAACCGAAGGUCACCAACGGUAAAAUCCCUACAUCCAUACUGAAGAGGUCUGGCUCAGGAUCAGACUCGGAGCCCAGCCACAGAUGGAAAGGCGAGCGACGGGUCCGGUUCCGGGAGCCUGAGACCACCGUGCAUGACGUUCCAUACUAUGACUGUUUAGUUGCCUAUGACACGUCACCGCCACGCCCCCACCUGGCCCUGUUCACCUGCUUGUUUCUGCUGAUGUCACUGCUGGGCGUGGUCAUGUACAGCACGGACCGCCGGCGCCCACAGCGUGUGUGUGAGGAGCUGGAGGCCUCGCUGGCUGUCUAUCUGAUACACAUGAAACAGCUGCUGUGGGGCUGCUGGAUCUGGCUAACCAUGCAGUGA
rnacentral:lncRNA from 1 species